UACGUAGGGUGCAAGCGUUAAUCGGAAUUACUGGGCGUAAAGCGUGCGCAGGCAGUUUUGUAAGUCUGUCGUGAAAUCCCCGGGCUCAACCUGGGAAUUGCGAUGGAGACUGCAAGGCUAGAAUCUGGCAGAGGGGGGUAGAAUUCCACGUGUAGCAGUGAAAUGCGUAGAGAUGUGGAGGAACACCGAUGGCGAAGGCAGCCCCCUGGGUCAAGAUUGACGCUCAUGCACGAAAGGCGUGG
rnacentral:rRNA from 1 species